AAUAUUAUCAACCAUAAAACCAUUCUUUUUAUACUCUAAGAUACAUAUUAACACACAUAACAUCAACACCGUAAUAACAACAUGCCCAUUUCAACCAUGACUCUUACCCACAAGUAUAGUAAGCAACACACUGUAUGAAGACAUUUUCUAAGCAACACAUGAAACAAACACAACAUCAUUCUCUAAGUAUCUGAGCAUUUUCAAAACUACAACAACAUGAACAUCUGAUGAAUUAUAAUAAAUGAAUGCCCUUCUUUUGCAAACAACAAACAAAAAUACUUCAAAGAGGACAACUUACAAACUUCAAGGUUGAAUGAAGGAGGUGUUGUUGUUGGGGUUUCAAAGUAGCGGUGUUUCACGGUGACUGUGAAGGUUGGUAUGGAAGAAGAUCAGUGUUGAAGUGAGGAGAAGGAUUGAAGUUUCACGUGUUAGCCUGUUGGGAGUGUUUCACAUGCUCACAUGGUCGAGGGAAGCAGAAGCAGAUAUAUGAAGCUUGUUGAAAUUUGUUGUUGUUGAUGGAGGUUAUAACUUUGUUGUUGUAUGUACGGUUGGAAGAGUGGUGCACAAAGGGAGGUAGUUACAGUGGAGCAUGAUUAUGCAUUGAAGAAGGAAUAGUGAGGUGGAAAGUGUUAUCAUGCCAAACCCUUUUUUGCUUUUUUUUAGAGGAAGAAGAAAGUCCUCUAUAUUAAAAAAUGUAUGUGGUUACAUGAAAGUUAUGUACCUGUUCAUGUUUUCAACUUUGCAUCUUUUCUAUUGGAGAGAGAUAUUUCAGAAAAAACAUGGAGGUUGGGUCUCCCCCCCCCCUUUUCUCUCAAAUUCCAUUUGCUAUGUAUAACUAUAGAUGUAUGGUUUUAGUAUUGAUGAAAAAAACCACUUAUAUCCUCAAUUAUGUACUAGCGGACAAGAAGUAAAAAAUAUUAAGUUAAAC
rnacentral:lncRNA from 1 species